AAUUACCCCAGGAAGCUGGCCAGCAAGAACUCCCAAAAACCCUGUUGUCCCAACUACUGUGAAAAGGAAUGCUGCCUGUUACAACUGAAACAUAUCAAAUACAUGAACAGAAAUUUGUAAUUAAUGUUUUAGCCAUGUGAAGAAUUAGAUUAUAAUUGAU